CGCCUACGGGAGGCAGCAGUGAGGAAUAUUGGUCAAUGGCCGGAAGGCUGAACCAGCCAAGCCGCGUGAGGGAGGAAGGCGCAGAGCGUCGCAGACCUCUUUUGCCGGGGGACAAAAGGCCGGACUCGUCCGGUCCUGAGGGUACCCGGAGAAAAAGCAUCGGCUAACUCCGUGCCAGCAGCCGCGGUAAUACGGAGGAUGCGAGCGUUAUCCGGAUUCAUUGGGUUUAAAGGGUGCGUAGGCGGAUUUUUAAGUCAGCGGUAAAAUGUCCGGGCUCAACCCGGGCCGGCCGUUGAAACUGGGGG
rnacentral:rRNA from 1 species